CGUACACUCCUACGGGAGGCAGCAGUGGGGAAUAUUGCACAAUGGGCGCAAGCCUGAUGCAGCCAUGCCGCGUGUGUGAAGAAGGCCUUCGGGUUGUAAAGCACUUUCAGCGGGGAGGAAGGCAAUGCGGUUAAUAACCGUGUUGAUUGACGUUACCCGCAGAAGAAGCACCGGCUAACUCCGUGCCAGCAGCCGCGGUAAUACGGAGGGUGCAAGCGUUAAUCGGAAUUACUGGGCGUAAAGCGCACGCAGGCGGUCUGUCAAGUCGGAUGUGAAAUCCCCGGGCUCAACCUGGGAACUGCAUUCGAAACUGGCAGGCUUGAGUCUUGUAGAGGGGGGUAGAAUUCCAGGUGUAGCGGUGAAAUGCGUAGAGAUCUGGAGGAAUACCGGUGGCGAAGGCGGCCCCCUGGACAAAGACUGACGCUCAGGUGCGAAAGCGUGGGGAGCAAACAGGAUUAGAUACCCCUGUAGUCCCAUGAU
rnacentral:rRNA from 1 species